UCAUUGGUAGUUCAGUGGUAGAAUUCUUGCCUUCCAUUUGGGAGGCCUGGGUUCGAUUCCUGGCCAAUAUA
rnacentral:tRNA from 1 species